rnacentral:rRNA from 1 species
UACAGAGGGUGCGAGCGUUGUCCGGAAUUACUGGGCGUAAAGGGCGCGUAGGCGGCCUGUUAAGUCGAACGUGAAAUCCCCGGGCUCAACCCGGGAACUGCGUCCGAUACUGGCAGGCUUGAAUCCGGGAGAGGGAUGCGGAAUUCCAGGUGUAGCGGUGAAAUGCGUAGAUAUCUGGAGGAACACCGGUGGCGAAGGCGGCAUCCUGGACCGGCAUUGACGCUGAGGCGCGAAAGCCAGGGGAGCAAACGGG